rnacentral:rRNA from 1 species
UACGGAGGGGGCAAGCGUUGUUCGGAAUUACUGGGCGUAAAGGGCGCGUAGGCGGCCUGCUAAGUCGAACGUGAAAUCCCUGGGCUCAACCCAGGAACUGCGUCCGAUACUGGUUGGCUUGAAUCCGGGAGAGGGAUGUGGAAUUCCAGGUGUAGCGGUGAAAUGCGUAGAUAUCUGGAGGAACACCGGUGGCGAAGGCGACAUCCUGGACCGGUAUUGACGCUGAGGCGCGAAAGCCAGGGGAGCAAACGGG